rnacentral:rRNA from 1 species
GAUGAACGCUGGCGGCGUGCUUAACACAUGCAAGUCGAACGGAGUUAUUACAGUGAAGUUUUGGGAUGGAGCUGUAAUAACUUAGUGGCGGACGGGUGAGUAACGCGUGGGUAACCUGCCUCAUACAGGGGGAUAACAGUUAGAAAUGACUGAUAAUACCGAAUAAAACUGUCACUUCGCAUGAAGAGCCAGUCAAAGAUUUAUCGGUAUGAGAUGGACCCGCGUCUGAUUAGCUAGUUGGUGGGGUAAUGGCCUACCAAGGCGACGAUAAGUAGCCGACUUGAGAGAGUGAUCGGCCACAGUGGGUCUGAGACACGGCCCAAACUCCUACGGGAGGCAGCAGUGGGGAAUAUUGCACAAUGGGGGAAACCCUGAUUCGGCUACGCCGCGUGAGUGAAGAAGUAUUUCGGUAUGUAAACUUCUAUCAACGGGGAAGAAAAAAAUGACGGUACCCGAAUAAGAAGCCCCGGCUAACUACGUGCCAGCCGCCGCAGAAA